rnacentral:lncRNA from 9 species
CGGUAGGUUCCAAAGCCAUGACCUUGCAGGUGUCUGUGAGGUAGACCUCAUGAAGAUGGGGUUUUCCAGGUCUCAGAAAAUUCCAUCACCAAAAGUCAUGCUGUUGAACCAAACUGCUUACCCUCUGUGUGGUGAUCAGGACCUUUCCCCUAAUGGAACAAGAAGCUUACUUCCCUGGAGGAGGAAACCAUCAGAGCAGACAGAUGCAGUGAAGUUCCUCAGGUGGGCGACUUUGGAUCUGGUACUUCCUCGGGACUCUGCCUUGCCGUGGGCUCCGCAUGCUAUAGAAAAAAAGAUGCAAGGACUUCCCCCAGUGUGGUUCUACUCAGACCCUGCAACCCUGCAACCUAAGAAAUGUCCCCUAUUUCAGUGAGUCCUCUUGUCUUGGUCAAUAAUUUUAACAUAGAGCAAUUUUUAAAAAAAAUGCUAAGUUAUCAGAAUCCAUGGUUUUAUGCUGAGAAAGGAACAAGCCAGGGUUUUUUUAGGUGAGGGGGCUGAAUGGAAAUAAAUGUCUCUCCACAACAAGUUAGACUU